rnacentral:rRNA from 1 species
GAUUAGAGUUUGAUCCUGGCUCAGAUUGAACGCUGGCGGCAGGCCUAACACAUGCAAGUCGAACGGUAACAGGAAGAAGCUUGCUUCUUUGCUGACGAGUGGCGGACGGGUGAGUAAUGUCUGGGAAACUGCCUGAUGGAGGGGGAUAACUACUGGAAACGGUAGCUAAUACCGCAUAACGUCGCAAGACCAAAGAGGGGGACCUUCGGGCCUCUUGCCAUCGGAUGUGCCCAGAUGGGAUUAGCUAGUAGGUGGGGUAACGGCUCACCUAGGCGACGAUCCCUAGCUGGUCUGAGAGGAUGACCAGCCACACUGGAACUGAGACACGGUCCAGACUCCUACGGGAGGCAGCAGUGGGGAAUAUUGCACAAUGGGCGCAAGCCUGAUGCAGCCAUGCCGCGUGUAUGAAGAAGGCCUUCGGGUUGUAAAGUACUUUCAGCGGGGAGGAAGGGAAUAAAGUUAAUCCCAUUGCUCAUUGACGUUACCCGCAGAAGAAGCACCGGCUAACUCCGUGCCAGCAGCCGCGGUAAUACGGAGGGUGCAAGCGUUAAUCGGAAUUACUGGGCGUAAAGCGCACG